GUUAAAAAUAUACCAUCGCUUUAUUUUAAUACAAGUUUAUUUACAUUUCUACUUGUGAAUCACUUUUACAUCUUCACUGCCAAACACGAUCUCUCCUUUCUCACGAGGUGCUAGCUCCUAAUUGAUUCUCUCACACAGAACAUUCUCUCCACCCAAGACCCAAAUUCAUGCUCUCUUGUGUUCAUCUCACAAAAUUUGGUAGCAUGUGAAUUAUACAUUGACUGUGCUGGAUGCAAAAGAAAACUAUUAGCUAGACAUUUGCUUUUCAAAUUUAAUUUUAUAAAUUAAGUCAAUAUGAUAAAGAAUUGUGUAACCAUAAUAAUGUUGUUCAAGCUAGGAAAAUAUGCAUUAUAAUAAUUAUGAGAGCUUAGAAAUAAGCUCCUAUAGUCUAAGAUAUAAACUUGUAGCUAUUUCAGACAACCAUUGCAGCACCAUAUAGCUGUAAUUGGUGCAUAUCUUUUGUAGAAAACAAAUCUUAUUUUUCCGAUCAUACAAUAAGUAAGAAUAUUGAGAUCCCUGUUAUCAUGUGCCAAAGUGUCUAUAUAGUAACAUCGAAGACAUAUAUAAAAUAAACAGAAGGCAAUCGAAUCAGUUAAUUAUAAAUCCUGAACAAUCACUCUGAUUCCCUCUAUGUACACGACACUUCUAAGAAAAGGGUUCAGCUCCCUGCUACUUUAAACCAAACUCUCUCGCUCAUAUUUCAGAGAGAGAGAGAGAGAGAGAGAGAGAGAGAGAGAGAGAGACUAAAUACACGUAAAUAUAUCUAUUUUUAAGGACGUUAACAUUUUAGGAAUUUUUUCAUUCAGCAACAAAUGAUUGGAUCCACCACAUACAUCAGCUCAAGAACGAAAUGCACAAUAUACAGAGGUGCUGAUAAGAAAUUUGAUACUUUUCGAAACAUGUUGUCGAGCUUGGCGAGAGAAAGUUUUGGAGUUUGAGGCCCAUGUGGGGAGCUAUAGGGUGAUAAAACAGAGGCUCUGAGAAUAGAACAUGGCUUCAUCCUAGUGAAGAAUAGGUUUUGAUAAUCUGGAUCUUAUUAGAAAAAAUAUUUAAAACUUUAGUGACCCAAGUUUGGUGAAGAAACUUUAAUUUAAACUACACUUGCUGAACAAAUAUGAAAUAUUUGUUAUCUUAUUCACAUUGUAACAUAUCUCAGCAUAGUUUCUUAGUUAAUCCCGAGUUACACAUUUAUAUUACCGUUGUUUGAAAGAACAAGAUAAAAAGUUAUCAAAAUCCCGAAGAACAUUACGAGCUCAACAUCCAUCGAAUUGCUAUAUAGAAAAUGUGAUCAAGUAAUUUCUUAUUAUACUGUCAAUGUUACUAUGAGAAUCAGACACAAUUAAUAAGCUUUAGAAAAUCUGUGAAUACUGUCUAUGGAUAAGAAAUUCAAACUAUCUUCCUAUUAAGUAAAUAUCUACUGCAUGACCAUAGCUACGUACAUGUAUAUAACCGUUAAUGGGUCAUUUAAUGUCAAAAUCGAUUGACUAUAGCAAUUCAUGCGCGGAUCCCGGAUUUUUUCAGAUGUGUUGAAAUUGGGUACCACCCCCCCCCCCCCCCCCAACACCCCGUAACUCCUAAAAAAACAUACAUGUAAAAGGCUUAUGUUAAUCCAAAGCUCAAAAUCCUAAGGGGGGGGGUAAUCCUUUAGUGUAUCCAUGGGUUUUCACUAUCGUUUACUAAUUGUCAGUAAAUAUGAUCUUCAAUUAUCCUGCCUGAUAGAUUAGUGUACAGUUUCUCUUCGAUCAAUUUCUAAUGAUGAACUAAAAUUCUACCAAAACCAUGCAGUAGCUAGCAUGCAAUAUCCAUUGUAUCUCAAAACUGUAUAUAGAUACCGUAUCACUUCUAAAUGAAAAUUUAAAUUGUUUAAUGUAUGCAGACGAUGUAGUAAUAUGUCAACAUCAGCAGAAGGUUUACAACAGAGAAUAGAUAUUCAGAAAUAAAUUGUAAUGAUUGGUGUUAAGAAAACAAAAAUCAUUGUCUCGAAAAAGGCUAGGAGAGGUUAGAUUCUAGAACAAUCAUGUUAAAUAUACACCCUAUUAUAUAAGUACUUGGGUACCUUUUUUCUGCAUCUGGCAGUUUUAGUACACAUUAAAUCUGAACUAUAAGAUAAGAUAGGUUUAUUCCAAUUUUGGGCCCAGAGGGCAUAACAGUAAGACAGUUUAUAAAGAAGGAAAUUCAAAAAAGAAAGAAAGUUUUUUAGAAAUUGAAAAAAAAACCCACCCAACUUUUUAUGUUUAGCAAAGAAAUUCAAACAAGCAUGCAUUUCAUCUUUUUGCCCAUGCACACAAUAAAACCAAUUAUUUUAUUAAUUUUGAAAUAUGGCAAUUAACUCCGGCUCAUUAGGAGGGGAACUUCAUUAUUUGUUGUUAUAUUAAAAUUAAAUGUGAAAAAGUUUCUUAACGAAAGAAAAGCUUUCGUGAUAUUAAAGGAGAAACUGUACGGAUUUUUAAUACGCUUACUGAUGAAAAAAUCAUCAAAUACUGUGUUCUGAAAAGCCACCUAUGUUGAAUCUAAUCGGGAAAUUUAUCUAGAACAAUAUAUGCAACUAAUAACAGUGACAUAGUGUUUAAAUUAUAAUGUGUCGUAUAAUCACUCCAUUUUCUUUGUUGAUAUAUGUAUACAUUUGUAUGUAUUUUCUUGCUGCCCCUUGAGAACCAUUACAAUGUAGUUGGAAAAGUUUUAUUUCACGCUUGCUCCCACCCCACCUCAACCCCUCGUCAAGAAUAACCAUUCAUAGAACACACACCCCCCCCUCCCUAUUAAACUUCGUUUAGUUUAAAUAAUUUUCAUUCCUCCCAACAUGUGUGUCGCUGAAUUAUCCCAAGAAUUAAAUCUCAUAAAUUUUGUCAGCGUUUGCAGUGCACAGGUUCCUGAAUUGUUUAUCUCACUUUGUGGAAUGAGUCAGCCAUGAUGUGUUGACUCGCGUUGUGCACUUUGAUGAAGAAAAUGAUACUCCCAUAAACUUAACGCACAGAAUGUAAAAGGCAGCAAAUGUAUCCUGAACUGGUGUGUUUUCUCAAAUUCGAAAGAGAAUAUUGGGUAAACUUUUAUAAGAGUGUCUAUAGCUACGUAAAAUAGUACUUUUCAUUGUCUUUACAACGAUAACACACGUGCCUAUUCUUUCCUAAGAGAUUACGUCGGAGAGAGAGAGAGAGAGAGAGAGAGAGAGAGAGAGAGAGAGAGAGAGUGUGUGUGUGUGUGUGAGAUGGUUACCAAUCGCUGUACCUUGAUUUGAUAAAUAAAUCAUGGAGUUAAUAGUAAAAUUUAAAUCCUUGUACAAAUGUAAAUGUUGACACUUUAUUCUUUUUUAAGUGGCUCAGGUGACCUAUUGACAUUGGUCUUCGUCCGUCGACGUGUGUCGAGCGUCGUCCAUCGUCCGUUAACAAAGCAUCUUUAUAACUUCUUGAAAUUGUUAUCAUUUUUGAAGCACCUCUAGCAUAAGAGCAUUGAUUGUAUAUUGUUUAACGCCCCUCUGGAGAAUCUUUCACUCAUAUGGAUAUAUGUCCGGGGAAAAAAAAUGUGAAAAUGACAUUACCACCCCUGGGGUCUAAUGGGCGGGGCCAGAUAUGCUUGAAAAGUCUAUAUUUUCACAACUCUUCUAUGUAUUGUCAGGGGCGGAUCCAGGAAUUGCGGUUACGGGGCCCGGGGCGCCACUUCACGAGGGUGCGCCCCCCUCUAAAUCCGCCAUUGAUUGUUAUGAUAUGUACACGAAGCCCUCUAUUAAAAUUGUGAUAUCCAUAGUCAAGGGUUCAGGCGCUAUAGGGCCAUAUGGUGAAAAUGUAUCAAAUGUAAGAAAAUCUUUUCUACUCCAUGCAUAUAUUUGAGAAGGUGUCCAUGAAGUGUUUGUCCUGUCACAGGCACUUGAAUUUCUGUCAAUAAGUCACUCAUAAAGCCCAUACAGAGAAUCCCUCGUAUAAGCCUCAAUAUAGUCUUUUGGGCACUUAUAAAUUAUUAUCUUUCAAAACGCAUACAAUUCCUAUUCAAUUACAGGAGAAAAAUGGAAGUUUGAAGCAUAUUAAUAAUUUUAACAUUCUGUUAUGACUUAUCCAAAAUUAGGGCCUUCUCGGGCACACAGCAAUUAGGAGCCAUGAAAUUUACAAUUUAGGUAAAAAGGGGUAUAUAUGGCACGCCAAAUUCACAAAUAUGAGCUAAACAUAGUUUCACAGUUGAUAAACUAGGUUUAUCGACUGUAAACUAUAUAGUUUACGGACCGUAAACUAUAGUUAACGACGUUAAUCUAUAUUUCACAUCUGUAAACCAUAGUAAACAGAUAAUCUAUGUUUCACAAGCGUAAACUAUAAUUAACAAUGAAAACAAUCAUUAGCGAUUGCAAAACAUAGUUUAUCUGAUAAAUACGGUUUCACGAUUGUAAACUACGGUUUACAAGUCUAAACUAUUAUUAACGAAUGUAAAUGAUAGUUUACGGUUUGUAAGUUUAUAGUCAUUUAAUGCGCCGAAUUCACAAAAAAGUGAUAAACACAGUUUUGUUUAAUAUAGUUUAUGAGUAAAAAUGGCAGUUAGCUAUAGUUUACGAUCAAAAACUAUAAUUAACGAAUGUUAAACAUAGUUUAUUUGAUAAAUAUAGUAUCACAAUUUGUGAAACUAGGGUUAGCAAUUGUGAACUUAGUUAACGAAUGUAAAUUAUAGUUUAUAAAUGUAAAUCUGUAUUUAUCAACAAAAUCUAUUGUUAACGUUUAUUCAAAGACAGAUAAACUUGGAUUAGCAUUGUAAACUAUAGUUUACAACCGUUAAAUAUAGUUUUACGGAUGAAAACUAUAGUUAACGAAUCGUUAACUAUAGUUUACGGUCCGUAAACUAUAGCUUACAGUCGAGAAACUAUGUUUAGCUCAUUUAGUGAAUUUGGCGUGCCAUAGGUAUAUACAUCGACUGUUAAAUAAGGCCUCAGAUUGUGACUUUUUCUUUCUGACUCGGAGUUGUUUUCAGUGAUGUACAGAUGUUGCGGGGGAAAAUAGAUAUUCCAAAAUAACACGUACAUAUAUAAUGACAUUUUGGUGAAAAUAUUCAAUCCCUUUGAAGCCGCCACUUUGUUUUAUUCUAAUUCAGAAAAUGUGAAAUUUCACACCUCCUAAAAAAAUUGCUGUAGGUCCUAAAUGAUUUAUAUAUAUUUUAUCUUAGAAAAGUAAUUUGUUUUUGCAAUUGUCUUUGGAGUGAAAAAAAAAAAAGAUGAAUGUAUAUAUACAUAUUACAUAUGAUAUUAUAUACUAUCUCAAAGUGGAAAACAUUUCAAGUUUUGUGCUGUCGGGUUCGGCAUACCUUAUAUUGCAAACUUAGUUUGGCGGUGAGACUUGAACGAGAAUCCAAGAGUUACUGUGAUCAAGUAAUCAUCAUGAUUAGUGAUUAUGUUGGGUCAGAUUACGAUCAGAGCCAGUUCAAUUCACACGACUUGGAUGCCAACAAAGGAUGAUAGUUGGGCAAACACGGACCCCUGGACACACCAGAGGUGGGAUCAGGUGCCUAGGAGGAGUAAGCAUCCCCUGUUGACCGGUCACACCCGCCGUGAGCCCCAUAUCCUGAUCAGAUAAUGAGAAUGAUAUAGACAUGAUAGAAGUGGAAAAAGAUUGUGACUAUUUUAGUAUGAAAAAGGAUUUGUCAACAAAUGAUGCAGAAAGGAAACGAAAUAAAAAAGAUUCCUGUACACUUCAAUUCACAAAGAAAACACCCACCAUUAUAGAUCUACACAUUUUUAUAUGACGGUCACUGAACGGGACGUAUUAUGUUAUGAUGCUGUCCAUGUGUCUGUCUGACUGGCUGGCUGUCCGUCCGGGGUCAUGUUUUCCGGACUUUUUCCCGUAACAGAUGCAUAUACAACUUUGAAAGAAAACCAAGAAAGGGACUACUAGAUGAGGAGAGUGAAUGAGGUUCAUCAAUUGAUGUUGAUCCUGAAGCCAUUAAAGAAAUAAGCAGUGAGCUUCAUUUUACCUGUAAGCCUAAAAGUCAGCGGCACACUUGGACGGAAAAAGAGGACAGACUUGUAACAGUUUUUCACAGAGGAAAUAAAUGAUGGAACACAAAAAGGAAAUAAGGGAGCACUAAACAUCAAAAAUAAAAUGAAGAGCUUUAUUCAGCAAUAUCCAGAAUUUCUUAAGGACUAUGAAGUGUCUAAACAAAAAUUCCUGAUCAGAGUGAAACUUUUAAACUGCAGAAGAAGGAAAAGAGAGGUGUAUUUCCACAAUCUUGGAAACAUUGCUCAGUAAAAAAUUACAUUAUGGAGUCAUCAUUUAAAAAGUUGACAAAGUGAACAUGUAUUUCAGCUCUACAUCUACAAGUUUCAUGAAAGUUUAAACAUGGGGUGUUGUUGGAGUGGUAGUACCUUUGUUCUAAGAAGCAAGUUGAUUCAAAGCAGCACACUUUUUAUCUAACAAACACAAGAAAACAACUACAUGUUAAAAGCAUCACAGAUAUUCUUUAUCGCAAAGAUCUUAAUGGUGACAAAAAAUACUUUUUUCUCAGUAGCGUAUCUUUCAACAGCAGUCUUAGCAACACAUCUACAUGCCCUCAUUAAGUUUUGUAAAGGUUUGAAAUCUGGGUGUAGGUGGAGUGGUAGUACCUUUGUUCUACACUGGUCCACACACCACACACACAUUUCAGACUCUUACAUCCCCUUACACAAACAGCACUAUAUAAACAGUCUUUUCAGCAAAACAAAUGCCAAGCUAUUGUAUAUUUACCCAAAGGAACACAACUUACAUUUCCAAUUUGUGUAUCUGAAACAUGUAUAUCACCAUGUCUCCAUACAAAACGGCACUAUUCUUUUCAGCAACACAUUACCACCCAAGUCAAUGUAUGAUGUACUGUUAUGACAUUGAUAAUAACUUCCAAUGAUAUACAUAGGCUAAUGUAUACAAUUACAUAUUAUAUAUUCUGGAUGAUCUAAAUCUAUAAAUCUUUUAAUUUAUGAAAUGUAUUCCAUUUCUUCUAAAAACAUCUACAUAAUAAUUUUUGCAUGCUUUUCUACUUUGUACACAUUUGUCCAAGUGGUAACAAAGUUAUUUAACAAAGGCGAAUUGCCUCUACAUUUGCAACUAUACACAAAGUAUUUUAAAUAAUAAUUAAUCAAAUUGAUCAUUUCAUUUUCUGAGCUACCCAGCAAAAAGUUUUUUUUAUCAACAACAAUAUUUACUGAAAAAAAAUCCCUAAACCAGGACUGCACAUUCUUGAAAAAUAAAACAACAUUUUCACAGUCAUACACAACAUGCUCUAUUGAUUCCUUUUGUUUUGCACAAAACGAACAUAAAUCGUUGUCUAUUUUCUUUAUUUUUAACAAAAAUGAUUUGUGAUUAAAAUUUUAUGAUUUAUACGAUAUUGUACCUCUACAUUUGUAGAUAUCUGUAUCCUUUGUAAUAGUAAAAACAUUUUUAUUAAUUGUAUUCCACUCUUCUUGAGAGAUAUCAAAUUUUAUAUCCCACUUCUUUUGACCUGUAGGUUUUUCUUCACAAUAAUUAAAAAUUUGGUAGUUUUUUCUUGUUUCUUUUAAAAUACAUGAAAGGGGCUAUAUGUAGAGGAAUAGUAGGUUCUUGAACUUUUAUAAACUGGUUUAUUCCAUUAACUCUCAUUGCUUUCUUCAAUGCUUGUCUUAAACCAGAAAAUGAGAUUUUACUUUAUACAUUUCCAUGAAUUGAUUAUAAUUCAUGAUAUCUCCAUUCUCAUCUAACAAUGAGUUAACUGUAUAUACAUUAUUUUCACACCAUUCUUUCAGAUAUAAAGUUUUUCUAUUUAUACCUUUAUGUUUUCAUUGUACUAUAAAACACUGUUAACCAUAAGUUCAGAAGAUUUUUUUUCUCAAAAAGAAAAUACAAAAAUUUCUCACAAAAGAUACUACAAUAACUAUUUUUACAGCAGCACAAAAACAUCCUGUAACAAAAGUCAUUCAGCAACACAUCUACAUGCCCUCAUUAAGUUUUGUAGAUGUUUGAAAUCUGGGUGUAGGUGGAGUGGUACAGUAUAUCCGCAACGUUAUUCUUGACAUGAUAAACAAUAGAGCACGAUACACGCACGAUAGGAUAGGAUACAUGCACGAUACGAUAGGAUACACGCAUGAUACGAUAGGAUAAACGCAAAACCUGAUAAACGAUCUUCACGAUAAACCUGAUAUAAACGCAAAACAUGAUAAACGAUCUUCAUGAUAAACGGAAAACCUGAUAGGAAUGUUGUAAAUUUAGAAACGAGUUAGACAGAACGAAAUUUUGAUACCUACAACAUAAUUACAUUAUGUUGAUAAUAAUAUUGAAGGAUUUCAAUGUUCAUUAUAUACCUACAUUACGGACAAUGCAGAUUUUUUGUUUUCUGCGUUCUUGCAGUUGGCAAAAUCUAUAGGUAACUCAGGAAAACCGCGUUCUCAUCGCGGGAUGACUAUCAGUUACCUGUCCCCGUCGCGGUAACAUUUGUUUAAAACAUUGAUCGAUUUUGUACCAUAUAAUUUCUUUCACCCAAGGUCGUACUUUUUAUUAUUAUUAUUAUUUAUGUUUUUUAUGCCAUCACAGCUAAAAUAAAAAAACUAAAAUGCAUACGGCAUUGAAUUCAUUAUUUGAUAUCUAUAUGAAUUUUCUCAGCCAAUGAUUCUAAAACUUAUAUUGUACGUCACCUAAUGUUUAAUAUAUAAAUUAUACAGGGAAUUCACUAAAUGUAAUAUAAUGUAGUGGUAUCAUGCUUCCGUAGCUCUCUUAUGCUAAUGUAUAUUACCUUGAAUAUGAAAUAAAACCAAGUAAUAUUUUGUGUGUAGCGAGGAGGGGGUUAUUUUGCAUCAAGCUCUAAGUUCACGGCUCAUUCAACAUCUCAAGUUAUUUUCAUAAAAAAAUCAACCGCACUACACCUGUUAGAUAUUUUUACACUAUGAAUGAUAAUUGAUAGUCAUAAGUAAUUGGAACAUAGUUAUUUGAAUUGAUAUUUUGUUAACAAAACAUAAAUAAACUGUUUAAAAAGCAUAAACAAAACCCCGCUUGUUUUAAAUUCACAAUUUUGAAACUCUUAGUGUGUAAAAAAUUCAAAUAAUCAUCAAAACCAACAUAAAUUUCCAGUAUCUACACGUACGACUAUUGGUACAUGUGUACAUGUACAAAGUAAAAACAAAACAACGAUGACAGCGGAAUUGUGCCCAUUUGAGCAGAAUUUUGGGGGAUGCAACACCCUUGCACCCUUUUAAAACUUAAUCUUCUAAUGGGUGAAAUACAAUGUCUCUGAGAAUGUUAGCUGUCAAAACACGGGUGAUACACAAAAUCAGAUAUAAGGACGCGCACAAGUUCAGCAGUUGCUGUAUAAGUAGCAUACAAGUGAAAAAAAUCGGAAGAAAAAGAACCAUUAUUAAAAUAUACAUGUAUGUGAUAAACAAUGUAAUUUACUGAUUUUUCCUUUCAAAUCGGAACUCCCUAUUUUUCUGUUAGUGUUAAUUACCAAUAAUUGUUUCUAGACAAACAAGUGUUUAUGAACUUCAGAUGAAGGAGCUUUCAGAUUUACUGUCCUCGGUUUUCUUGACAGACCACUGCCUACUUUCCAGACUACUUAGAAUUAAAUUGUGAUAAAUUUUCACUCUCUCUGGACAGACAAAUACAUGUAGCUCUUCUUCUGCCUUAAAAUCGACAACUUUAUGUCCUCCUUCAAAUAUACCGUCUUUCCUCGAUUCCUAAAAAUAGCUUCUUUAACAAAACGAAUAAAGGUUUCGGAAAGUAUCAUACUUUUUCAUUAGAUUUUAUAUACGAUCCCGAUAGUUUCCGAAGCUACACCAUAAACGAUUUUCACGAUAAACGGAAAACCUGAUACACGCAAAACACGAUAGACCUGAUAAAUGCAAAACAUGAUAGAAAACAGAAAACCUGAUACACAAUAGGAUAGGAUACACGCACGAUACGAUAGGAUACACGCACGAUACGAUAGGAUACACGCACGAUAGAGCACGAUAGGAAUGUCAAGAAUAACGUUGCGGGUACUGUAGUACCUUUGUUCUACACUGGUCCACACACCACACUCACAUUUCAGACUCUUAUCUAAAACUCAUCACAUCCCCUUACAGAAACAGCACUAUCUAAAAUAUCUUCUCAGCAACAUGACCACUCAAGCUAGGACAGAUUUUCACCUUAUAUACACAAAAAACCCACAUUCAUGUAAUUGUACCCAACACAAGAAAGAACCGAGAAAGAUUGAAAAGGUACUACCCUAACCAACCUACAUCACCUCGCAGAAACAGUGCUUCAUUUAUGUCCUGAGGUAAACACGAACUACAGUCACAAGCCUCCAGGAGAUGAUCAUGGACUUCAAGCAGUGACCAGAGUUGACCAAAGACUACAUCCACUAAUUGCACAGAUUUGACCAUAGACUACAACAAGUACAUAGUAGUUGACCAUGAACAACAAUCACAAGCAGCCAGUGGAGGAAGGUAAACUAUAGCUGGAUGGACUACAAUGGAUGUCUACAAUGGAUCACCAUGGACCUAAAAAAAAUAGUCGGUAUUUAAUUUGUUUUGUAUGUUAUAUGAUAUAUCUGUACAGUGCAUACACUGUACAUGAAGUACUCGCCUAAUGCAAUAGUUAUACAAGUGUAACCAUCAAAUCAGCAUUUAUUCAUAAUAGAAUUCCAGUCUUUUUGUCUAUUUUGUCUUUAAUCCAGAUUAUUCUAUAUAUGUAAGAAAUGUGAUUAAAGCCUGGUUUACGUUAACUACGAUGACCGUCCGAUUAAUUUAUGUAUGAAUGUCCAUGAGAUUUAUAGAGCAUUGUAAGAGGCCAUGGUGUUCAUGUUUACAUUAAAUAUGGACAUCUGUUAUCAUGACAUUGUUUGCAGCUCCUCCAAAGAGGUCAGGUUAAUCCAUACAUUGACUAUAUGGAAAUUAUUUUAACAUUGUGCAUUUUAUGUAAUAGUCUCUGCUAGAUAUCCACAAUUCUCUCUUUGAAAUUGUAUGGAGCCCUCACGACUCUCGUGCUAUAGGCUGUGCGAAGUCAGUUCUUGAAAACUUCCAACCAACAAGACAAUAGGUCCUGCCAGUUAGACAUACUGCUUACACUGGAUAUGCAAAUUGGAUGUAGUUUAUUAUAAACUAUAAUGGAAUACUGCAAAUUAUGAGAAAAUAAAAAUUUCCAUGAUCAGGGCAAUUCUGUGAAAUGACCAUGGAGAGAUUGUGGAAUACAUUGUACGUCAUGUGCACAGGCUAUGCACUUACGAUUCUUAAAAUUUUGAAAACUUUAAACUUAACAAUAUCAUAGAGGCCACAGAGUUCGUAAUUCCGGAUGAAAAUCUCGCAUUUGCCACCAGCCAUCGCAUGGAAACCAGACAGCAUUGUAUAUGGACAGAAUCUAUGGGAAUAUCAAAGGACAAAUUUAUGUAAACCAGGCUUUAGAUGUGAAUUCAUUUUAUUGAUAGACCAUGUAUGUUAAACUUCAUCAAAAAUGUUAUGACAAAGACUUUAGGCCAUUUGUUACUGCAACGUAGGGAGUUUGUUAUAGAUGUAUUUAAUUUCAUGUUGGAUUAGAUAUCGUAAUUUUUCGUGCCUGGGAGAAAACAACGAAAUUGCUUGUUUCACUCUUUUGAUAGAGAAAUCAUGCUUCAUAAGAGGUGUUUUAAAGAACCAUUAAUAAAAAUUUUGGUGUAAUGAGCUACCUUAAGCAUACUUUACCAGUCGUAUAACUUUGAUACAAAAUGGCAGUUAAAUUGCUUUUGAUAUUACAUACACAGAUAGCAUAGGAAUCACUGUGCAUUAUUGGUAUAUCACUACAUUCUUCAUACUUGCAUGACUACUAUGGCUUGUAACCAUAAACAAAAACAACUUCCUGUACAAUCAUUUUUUAUGCCCCCCGCCACAACAUGGUUGGGGCAUAUAGUUUACCCUUUUCCGUCCUUCUUUCGGACUUUUUUUUCUAAAUGCCUAGAGAUAUUGAAUUGAUUUUUAGUGUGCAGGUGUAAAUUGAUGAGUUACAGAUUUAGUUUGAGUUUUGUUCUGGUUCCUAGAUUUUUGAUGGAGUUGUGCCCCCUUAACUUAGAAAAAUUACUCUUACAACCAGUUUUCUGGACUUUUUUAUUGCAAUUGUUUGUCGUCCAUCGUGUGUUAACAAUUGAACAUUUUUAACUUCUUCUUGGUAACUACCAGUGCAAUUCUUUUCAAAUUUGGUUUGAAGCGUCUUUGGGACAAGGGGGACAUAAAUUGUAAAUUUCAGGACUCCAGCACCCCUGGGGCCUUAGGGACGGGAUAAAAACUGCCCAAAUUGACCAAUUUAAAAAAAAACUUCUUCUCAAGAACCGCACAUGUGUAAGAAAAACUAAAUGCAUGAUGAUGUAGAGCAGGAAGGCCUCUACCAAAAUUGUAAAUUUCAUGAUCCCCAGGGUAGGGGUUUUGACCAAAAUUGGCAUAUAGUGUUUAAUGUGUAAAACACUUAAAUAACAUUUUCUUUAGUGCUAUUGAUACUUUAUUGAAACUAAAUGGAUAUUUAGAAAGAACAGGUAGUCCUUUACCAAAAUUGUAAAUUUGAUGAUCCCAGAGGUAGGGGUUUUGGUAUCAGAGUAGGGCCAAAAUGGUCAGUUGUUAAAUUGGGUGAACAAUAGACAUUUUUAACUUCUUCUUGAUAACUAUCAUUCUAAUAAUUUUCAAAUUUGGUAUGAAUCAUCUUUGGAACAAGGGAGACAUAAGUUGUAAAUUUCAGGAUACCUGCAUGCACCCCUGGGACCUUAGAGGCAGGGUAAGAACUGCCCAAAACUGACCAAUUUUCAAAAAUCUUCUUCUCUAGAACCACACGUACUAACGAAAAACUAAAUGCAUAAAGAUAUAAAGCAGGAAGGUUUCUACCAAAAUUGUAAAUUUCAUGAUCCCCAGGGUAGGUUCUGACCCCAAGGUGGGGCCAAACGUAGUAUAUAGUGUUUAUUCAUUUCAUGUGCACAACAAUUCAAGCAUGCAUAUGGUCCUUCCUUUAUGCAAUAUUAUUUAAUUGUGAUUUCCCGCGUUUGCAAGGGAUUUCAUCUAGCAUAUUAUUAACUCAUCUGAGCUGAAAGCUCAAGUGAGCUUUUCUGAUCGCCUAUUUUCUGUCAUCUGUCUGUCCAUCUGUAAACUUUUCACAUUUUCGUCUUCUUCUCCAGAACCACUGGGCCAAUUCCAACCAUAAUUGGCCAAAAACAUCCUUGGGUGAAGGGCUUUCAAGUUUGCUCAAACGAAGGACCAUGCCCCCUUCGAAGGGGAGAUAAUCACAAAAAUGCAAAAAUAGGGUGGCAUCAUUUAAAAAUCUUCUCAAGAACCACUGAGCCAGAGGAGCUGAAAUUUACAUGAAAACUUCCUGACACAGUGCAGAUUCAAUUUUGUUCAAAUCAUGGCCCCCAGGGGUAGGUUGGGGCCUCAAUAGGGGAUCAAAGUUUCACAUGGGAAUAAAUAGGGAAAAUCUUUAAAAAUCUUCUCAAGAACCACUGGGCUAGGAAAGUACAAAUUUACAUGAAAGCUUCCUGACAUAGUGCAGAUUCAAGUUUGUAAAAUCAUGGCCCCUGGUGGUAGGAUGGGGCCACAAUAGGGAUCAAAGUUGUAUAUGCGAAUAUAUAGGGAAAAUCUUUAAAUAUGGGCCAAGGUGACUCAGGUGAGCGAUGUGGCCCUUGGACCUCUUGUAUUAUGUAAAGCCUUUCAUCAGUGUAUACACUUUUGAGGGCAUUGAGGAUUUAAGAACACAUUUUAUUUUAUACUGUUGCUAUUAGAAUUUAGCUUAGAUAUUCAGAACAGGAUUUUGUUUUUAGAUUUCAUAUCCCUUGGGACUAGAGAUACUUUUAACUAGACAAGUAAUCAGUUGACCGAUAAGGCUUGUGGGUCUCUUGUUGAUGGAGUUGUGCCCUGUUUGAAAAAUUAAUGUUAGGACCAGUUUUCUGAAAUUUUUCUAAAUGCCUUGAGAUAUUGAACUGAUGUUUUGUAUGCAGGUGUAUAUUGAUGUCGAGUUACAGAUCAAGUGUGAGUUUUGCUCCGGUUCGUUGAUUUUUGAUGGAGUAGUGCCCCUUGAACUUAAAAUUUUUAGACUUUUUUCUAUAUGCUGUGAGAUAUUGAACUGAUUUUUUGUAUGCCUGCAUGCAGAUGUGUAUUACUGAGUUACAGAUCAAGUUUGAGUUUUGUUCCUUUUCAUUGGUUUUGAUGGAGUGGUGCCCCUUUAACCUAGAAAAAUUAAUUAAUUUAUUUUAUGACUGUUAAAACAUAUGAAUUUAAGGCUUAUUGUUGAAAUCUUCAUUUCACUAAAUGUGUGUAACAUACAAUCUGAAUACCACAUUCAAUGCUAUACUUUGAUGAAUUUCCUACAUUUGAAUUUACUGCAGGUGAGGCAAUUCGUGCCAUGCCAAAACAUCUAUUUAAUAUUAGAUUAGCAAUUUAAGUUAAAGGAAUCAUAAUGUGUACUGUUUGAGAAUGAUUUUAAGAAGGAAAGAUUUAUUAGUCAUGUGAAAGUUUAACUAAUCUUGUUAAAGUUAUAUUGUGAGAAGAUAAGGUUUUUACCAAUGUUUGUAAAGUUUCUGUACAGUACACAUUUUAUAUUACUCAUUAUAAUGUACCAUGCAAUUAUGUAACUGUACAUGGAUACUUUAAAAUGAGCUACAAUGAGCCCAGAGGUUCUGGGUGAAACCCCUGCCUAAGAGCAGAUAAUACAGUUGAUGGAAACUUCCAAUUAGUUGAUACCUAAUAUUAGAUUUGAUUGGAGAUCAAAUGUUAAAGUAAUUAUAUAUAUCACUGAAUUUGUGCAAAUUUAGGUAUCAAUAUAUUUGAAAAAGGGUUUACGUUAUAAAGCAAUUGUUAGUUUAAAUAUUUAGAGACUAUUUAUAGAAUAUGAAAAUCAUAUAAGAUUUUUUUUAAAAAUGUGGGAAAGCUUUUUUGCAUUGAUAAAUAGAUAUUAAAAAACAUAAUUAUGAAAUAUAAUGAGGAAAUGGAUUACAAUACCAUGCAGAUUAUUUUUAAAUUGAGGAAACUUAGUAAUCCACAUCUGUUCACAUAGUCCAAUAUUCAUCACUUUUCUACACUACAAAUAUUUGUCAAGGUGUACACUUAAACAAAACCUAGUAAUUAAAGAAUCCUUAAGGUAACUCCAUACUUGCCUGAUAAAAGUAUAGAAUUUAUUUGUAUUUGGUUAAAGAGACACUACAGCUCAUUUUGCGCAAAAAUCAUGAAAUGACAAUUUUCCCAGCGCUUUCUCAAUUUUUGUUGCAUUGUUGAAAGUAUGAACUUUGCGAAAAUAGCACUUAUCUAAAGUUAAAAAUUAUCGUUUUAACGUAAAAAUUAAUACUUUUUGAUGGCCUAUACACAAAAUAUCGAGUCUCCUCCUUUCAAUCUUCAGACGCAUGCGCAUAGACAGUAAACAGUGCAGCAUGUCCUCCAGAGAGAGAAAGUGUAGUUGAUAGAUCUAGAAUUUUGACAGAUUCUGUGAGAAAAGAGGUAAAAUUAGAAUGAGAUAAAACUCAUACGUGAAAUAAAAUUUACCUUGGUAUCAGUUUGACCGUUGGAAAACAAAGAGCUCGGAGAAACACAUGUAACUCAGUGGCGGAUCUAGGAUUUCCGAAGAGGGGUGUGAAAGUCAAAGAUUAGCCAAAGUAAUCGGCCAUUCUAGUGCAAAAUUUGGAUUUUCAUUCACAAUCUGUGGGGUAAAAAGGGAGGGGGAUCCUGGCCCCCUAAAUCUGCCAUUGAGACUAGCUGCGAAGACACCACGUUUAAAAGUAAGUGCUAUUUUUAUCUGAACACGACACGUGUUAGUUGUAAAAACAUCGGUCAGUGGGAACAUGGAAGGUUUCUGUUGAAAUAAUGAUUUAUAAUUACUUAUUAUAAGGAGCAGGGAAUAAUCUUAUACUUGAAAGGUGAGUGUGGACCCCCUUGAAGGGGAAUUUAAAUAAUUUCCUAUACAGAACACCUUUGCUGUCAUUCAAAACCACGUGAUGUAAAUAAGCAUUCAAAAGUCCGAAUCAGCAUGAAGAAACCUUUGAAUUCCGAACGAUCUUCAAAGCGCAGUUGAGAGUAAAUUGAUGCAUCCCAAUUGUUCAAAAUUGUCAGUAUCGAUAUGAAAUUUAUCAUUUUAUCAAUACAUGGUUUUAAAAACACUUUAUUAAAAUGUGGAAAAUGAGCUGUAGUGUCUCUUUAAAACUAAUAAAUUGUCAAAGAAAAUAUAUAGGUUAUUGCACUUUUUAAGAUGUGAGACAUACAUAAUGCAGCAUAAUAUGAUACAAGUCUACUCUUGGACAGUAGCACUUGAAAGCAAAAGGGUUCAUGAUCUAAAUGCAUUCAAUUUGAUGAUAGCAUAAAAAAUCUAUUUAGAUAGUGUGAUCAUGUCGAAGCAUAUACAUCCAUAUUAUUAGCAAACAUCCAGUUGAAAAAAACAUUACCUGCAGGUCUAGCUGUUAUACAAACUACAUAAUAUGUAGAGCCGGGGGAGGGAAAACAGAAUUCUUUUAAAUGUGGCCUAAACAGAAUCGUAAAUAUCAACAUCAGAAAAUUGUAAUUAUCCUUAAAUAGCAUUUUCAAAAUUUUAUAAAAAGUGGUAAUAAUAUAUAUGAUAUUAUUCAUAUCAAUUUCAUGAAACUAUUUCUUUUCAAAAAUAUUUUUUAAGAAUGUUUCUGAAAAAUAAAUAAAAUCUAUCACAUAAUGGACUUGAUAAAGGAAUGAAUGAAAACAGAGUUAUUGCCCUUGGAUUCAAUAUUUUGAACCAUAUAUCAUAUAGGAUAUAACUUAGAAUUUUUAGAUGUUUAACAAGAUUUUUUUUUACAAUACCUAUCAGAAAGGACUGAACAAAAUUUAUGUUCUUAUCAUGCUUAAAUCUAUUGAUGUUCCAUGAGGAUGGAACUACUUUAAAUGUUAGUUGUCAAAUGGUUUGCACACAAAAUAGAAAAAUGGUAUACUAGUACUUAUUUUGUUAAUCGUAAAUUUUAAAUGGCUUAAUGUUUCCUGCUGCUGGGGGACUCAUGGCCAAAAGUGUCCAUGGUAUCGAUCAAUGUUAGUAAAACAAAACCACAUAUUCAGUUCACCUGAACUUACAAGUAUUAUAUUCUUUAAAAAUAUUUUGUUAUUUUAUGAUGCUGAUUUUAGUGUUUCUACUGUUUGUUGUCAGGUGUCUGUCAUGUUUCUGUACAACUUUUCAUCAAGUUUAUAACUCCUUCCAGAAAAUGGCCAUUUUCUGGCAGUCCUAUACUGUAAAUAUAUUAUAUUUGGCAUAUUGUUUUGGUACUUUCUGUCAGUCUGUCCAUCUGUAGUUGAAACCAUUUCUGAAAGGAUGAAUGUAUAUUGUUUGAUGUCCCGCUUGAGAAUAUUUUCAUUCAUAUGGAGACAUCACCAUCUCUAUGGUGCCACACCUGCUGUGAUACAGGACUUUGGUUUUUGCGAUAUCAUCCGAAGGACCACCCCAUUUAGUCGCCUCUUAUGACAAGCAAGGGGGUACUAAGGACCUAUUCUAACCCAGAUCUUUAAGAAGUAUACUACAGCAUCAUAAUGGCUGACUGAUCUUUUAAACAUGAAUGAAAAUGUAAACAUCAGCAAUAUUUGUAAUACUAUAUUCCUUUAAAAUUUUGCCUUAAGCUGGGUAUAGCUCAGUCAGUUGAUGUGUCGAUCGACUGCUGAUCUGUAGAUUGCGACAGAUACAUAUAUAAACAGGGAUAAGCAACUCCUACAGUGGCAUGUUUACAACUUUAAAUAUGUGACGGUCCCACCUAUAAAUUCUUAAUUCCUAUUUAUUGGUUUGAUAAUGAAGUUGUUGUUGAUUUAAGUUUAUUUCACUCCUAUCAUAAAUUGGAAUUUAACCUAGCAUACAUGUGUAACAAGUUUUGAUCAACAAAUAUACUUAUAUUAACAAAAAAAUAUAUUAACAAAAAAAAUAGGCAAAUUAAUUGUAAACAUUUUCUGAAAUAGUUUAAAUUGACUUAUGUGUCACCUUUUGAAACUUCAUUUUCAUUUUACCUUGAAGUGAAACAUCUAAAAAUAUUGUAUCUGCAAUGUUUUGCCAUAAUAUCAAAUUGGGGGAAGUUGCUAAUUUCUGUUUUAAUUAUGCCUUUAAUUGUGAGUUCAAGUCCAUGAGUUAGGAUUUUAAUUUUUUUCCCCCAGAUUACUUUUUACUAAAACUGCAUAGGGGGUUACUGAAUAUAAUAAAUUUGAAAGUUUUCAAUUUCCAGCUCCAGCUCACACAGCCUUGUCUACCUACCUGUCCAGCAGUCGGCCUACUGCACUGUACCUGUCAAGAUGUUUACCUGUUUUCUAUGUUUUUUGGUUGAAGCUUUGCCACAUUUAAGUCUGCAGUCAAGCCAUGAAUACCAGAGAGCAUAUCAAAAGGAUUACCACCUGAUGUCAGAAGACGUCAGAGGCACACACAAUGAAGAGGAAAUAUGCAGAUGAAUUAAACCAAUUCAGUACUGGUUCUUAGCUUGUGGAUGAAGCAGUGCUGAAUUGGUACUUCAUUCUCUCUAGAAUAGUCCCUUAUGGUCUUUUGGAUCUGAGCACUGGCAUCACUGGUAAUGGAACAAGGUUGAACAUAACUUAUUGGCAGUUUGGAGGGCCAAAACCAGUUUUCGGGAGGUGUUGUUUUCCACCGAAGCUCUGGGUUGCUGCCUCGAAUCCUGGCUGUGGCCUGUUGUUGUAAGAGGUGUCAGUCUCGAUGUGGACUUCGUUUCCUCGACCGAGAAAUUGGUUGACACGUCAGACAUACCGCUGAUUGUCGAUCAUCGAGGCUACGUUGAUUUCCUCCACUCUGUCACACAUCUGAUUGAGUUUCCGCUGCAGACCACGGCUGUCAGGUGGAUUUAUGUUGAGGCAGCACAUAAGGAAACGUGCAUCAGACACUCCCAUCUUAGACUUGGUGAGAGCCAGUACCAGUCCAUCAUUGAGGGCACUUGAUUCCGGUCCUCAAGUCUUCUUGACAGUUGUGUAGAGCUGCAUGUCUGGCUUGGCAGGUCGCAGUUUGGUUGGGAGGAUGAGAUCUUCAGUGGACAUACACACAACAUCCCAGUAUUCAUCAAGACUUAUACGGUCCCA